AUUAAAAGUAUAAUUGACACUAUCUAGAAAGAAUAAUGCAUGUGCAUGAGCUACAUUGCUUUUAAAAUUCCAUGUUGUUCCAAUUACUGGAGUUUCUUAAUUUGUAUCAAUAACUGCAGGGCUUAGAAGAUUUUUAUUUGUAAUGGCUCAGAGCAGCAUAUCUUCUUUAGAAAAGUUGUAAAUCUUUCCUCAUGUGCAUGAAUCUUACUGUUGUGAUCCAGUGUGCAUGGGAACUAACACUGGGAAGUAAUUUUUAUAGACCCAUCGAGUCUGCUUUGUGGAAAACCUGCAAAGUCCCACAGGAACAUUCAAGUAUUUCUAUACAUCAUUAUUGGAUUGAUAAUAGAAUACUAUUACAUAAAUCAUAAAAGCAUCAAAUAAGUAAUUUAGGGAAAUUAUCACAACAUCCUACUCAGUAUCGCAUAUCACUUAAAAUUACCACACAUUUGAAAGGGGAGGAGAGCAAUGUUAGAAACAAGUGCUGUUCUCCCUCUGCUUAUCACGCUGCUCAGUCCUGCUGGCACCAGCUGUGUCUGCAAUGGACAGCCCUGGCUUCACCUCAUGGGGGCCCAGGGCUCACACCUGGGUUCAGACACCUGUGUGGUCAUUUGAGAAAUGGAAAGUCCCCUGUGCACACACAUUUGCCAGCUUCUGACAGUAACAUAAGGCUUCAGCUUCUACUUUCUGGAAAAGCCUUCAGAAUUUUCCAUGGAAAAUUUUCUGCUUCUGGGGAAAGAUCAGGGGAAGAUGGUUAUCAGUGGUGCAGUAGUGGUUUUGCUCCUUCCAUUUCAUUUGGAAAUGAUCCAUCAUGCCUGCAGUCUGCAACUUCAGCAUGCACAUCUGAUCAGGUUGAGUUUAUAGAAGAGACCCAGAUUUCUAAGUCUCAUGUCUCCACAUUAAAUCAAGAGUAUCAUCACUGGCUGUUUUCAGUAAGUUCUGUCUCUUUCUCUUCCUUGCAUGAGUUCUAGCAACAGGGGGUUGGAGAUCUUUUGAGGCAGAUAGUUGAGGGAAGGAGGGUUUAGCUCCACCAUCUUUAUAGCAUUAGAUGUUGUAUUGAUAUAUAGAAAAUAUAAGUAAUAUAAAUGUGUGAUUAGGAUAUAAUUUUAAAUUUGAAAGGAGAAUUUAACGAAGGAAAAUGUGAUAUAAAUAGGAAUUGGAGUGCUCUGUUCUGUAUACAUGUACACAAAAUUACAGGAUCCAAUGCUGGAGGGUUGUGUUCAGAACAGCCCGGUCUGUUCUGGCAUAUACAUAUGUAUGGACACUUGAUUCUGAAUAUCAGCAGAUUUUUCCGACUGGACUUCUGUGUGCUUGCAUGUGUUCUAAUUUUCAAGCACCUUUUGCAGUUAAAGCACAAAAAAACAUUUCAGAGGUUCUUUGGAUAUAGUAACUAUAGGAUUGUGUUGGUGUAGUGGCUCAAAUACAGGGCCUUGGUUUCUUUUCAGAUAAAAUAUUACUACGUAAGUACAAACAUCUUUGAAUACAU
rnacentral:lncRNA from 1 species